rnacentral:rRNA from 1 species
UACGUAGGGGGGCUAGCGUUGUCCGGAAUCAUUGGGCGUAAAGCGCGUGUAGGCGGUCCGGUAAGUCCGCUGUGAAAGUCCAGGGCUCAACCCUGGAAUGCCGGUGGAUACUGUCGGGCUCGAGUCCGGAAGAGGCGAGUGGAAUUCCUGGUGUAGCGGUGAAAUGCGCAGAUAUCAGGAGGAACACCAAUGGCGAAGGCAGCUCGCUGGGACGGUACUGACGCUGAGACGCGAAAGCGUGGGGAGCAAACAGG